GCUUUUUUCACAUGGUAUCAGAGCUAAGGUGAGAUCAAAACAAAUAGUUUGAAAUUGAAUCUUUUGCCUUACGACCCUGUUUUUUGCCCUAAUGACCUUGCUCUCUAAGUCACCCAUAGAUGGUGUUUUGUUUGCAUCACCGCCUCCCUUAUUGGAGAGCUUGGCUGCCGAUCGACCUUCAGUUAAAUUCUAGCGACCAGAUGUGCAGCAUGUGGCUCUCACGCGCCAUCAUUUGUUCUGCGCCCUAGGUCAACACAGUGGUACGUGUGUUGUUAUCUAGCAACGUCUGGUGGUCAGACCUCUUCUCCUGGCGUCACCUCAACUUGGUGGUUCCAUCCCUAUAAGCUGUGUUGGGUUUUGAGGCCUCUUUCUUGGUGGUGUUUGAAAACCUUGCCAUUCGGGUUAUUGUUUCAAAGGGAUCUGCUAACUGGAGGCCAUUUCUUGGGAUACUUGUGGACUGUGGAUAUUUAAAGGACAAAGGCUAAGAGUGAGACUAAGUCGAUAAUUCCUGAUAUAGUUCUAGUGAUGACUAAAAUCAUUGAAUACAAACUCAAUGGUUUGAAUUCUUGGAAUGGAGCAAGACAAUUCAGAUUUAUUUGCGGAGCAUUAAUAAGGAUGAUCAUAUCACAAAAGAUCCAACAAAUGAUGAUACCAAGUAAGCUUGGCCGAGGGAAAAUGCACAUUUAUUCUUACAACUACGGAAUUCAAUUCACAGUGAGGUA
rnacentral:misc_RNA from 1 species